rnacentral:lncRNA from 1 species
AUAAGAGGGAAAUAAAUAAGAAUUUGGAAAUGAGAGGAUGUGAGUUAAUAGGGUAUGGACUCUGGAUACCUUCUCGUUUAGUCUGAAUCGAGGAGGAGAGUGUUGUGUGUGGCUGAAGUUCAGCGGGCAUGGUGAACCUGCACAUGGAUAGAGUUUGAAACCUAGUUCAAAUAUGGAUAGAUUUUUAUGAGUAUAGAUCACCUAGCAAACGUAACUACUGUAGCCAUUGUGAGUUUUUGUGUGUGUACUAUUCAUGCGAUGGGGGAAUCUAUUUUGCCUCUCCUCGAUGAAGACAUAAACGGCAUCACACGAUAAAAGCUUAUAGAUGACCUUUUGAGU